rnacentral:rRNA from 1 species
AUUGAACGCUGGCGGCAGGCUUAACACAUGCAAGUCGAGCGGGGUGAUGGUGCUUGCACUAUCACUUAGCGGCGGACGGGUGAGUAAUGCUUAGGAAUCUGCCUAUUAGUGGGGGACAACAUCUCGAAAGGGAUGCUAAUACCGCAUACGUCCUACGGGAGAAAGCAGGGGAUCACUUGUGACCUUGCGCUAAUAGAUGAGCCUAAGUCGGAUUAGGUAGUUGGUGGGGUAAAGGCCUACCAAGGCGACGAUCUGUAGCGGGUCUGAGAGGAUGAUCCGCCACACUGGGACUGAGACACGGCCCAGACUCCUACGGGAGGCAGCAGUGGGGAAUAUUGGACAAUGGGGGGAACCCUGAUCCAGCCAUGCCGCGUGUGUGAAGAAGGCCUUGUGGUUGUAAAGCACUUUAAGCGAGGAGGAGGCUCUUUUGGUUAAUACCCAAGAUGAGUGGACGUUACUCGCAGAAUAAGCACCGGCUAACUCUGUGCCAGCAGCCGCGGUAA